GGUAGCUGACAAGUCCCAAGUAGGACGAAACGCACGUCCUGAAU
rnacentral:hammerhead_ribozyme from 1 species